GCGCUUGGGUGCCAGGAGGCCACGUGGGGAAGCAAAGGCGCCUCCUUUCUCCCUCGACUUCCCUUUUUUCAUCGCACGCCUCGCACGCUUUUGCCCGGGCAGGUGACGCCGGGCACCCGCAGGAUAGAGCCAGGAGUCAACUUUUAACUCCACACCACAGUAGGAAGCAGCUAAACAGAAAAAAAAUGGGAUAAAGCUCAGGAUCAACGGCCGCUGUUCCCCCGUCGACUUUGCUUCUGCCUCUCGCUGAGCUGGCGUUCAACAGUUGACGGGAGAGUGCGAUAAAUCGA